CCAAGUUAUUGUGCGUCAAUGCUUAGCAGGAGGCAUUACGGAACCGGUCACUCAAUGGAGCCUGCAUAGGCGAGGGCAUAUGGCAAAGCCUCUUCCCCUCAUCUGAUUUUGAGAGCCCUUCCACGCUGGGAUUUAGGAUGUGUUGUCCUGGAGUCUGGGCCAGGACACCGCCGUAGAGAACUGGCUAAAUUGACUUUGGUCAGGGCAGUACGUCUCUGCCGAUAUAGGUGAGUAAAUUAUCCUGGUUCUGGGACUCAGG